GACGAACGCUGGCGGCGUGCUUAACACAUGCAAGUCGAACGGAAAGGCCCUGCUUUUGUGGGGUGCUCGAGUGGCGAAAGGGUGAGUAACACGUGAGUAACCUGCCCUUGACUUUGGGAUAACUUCAGGAAACUGGGGCUAAUACCGGAUAGGAGCUCCUGCUGCAUGGUGGGGGUUGGAAAAUUUCGGCGGUUGGGGAUGGACUCGCGGCUUAUCAGCUUGUUGGUGAGGUAGUGGCUUAACAAGGCUUUGACGGGUAGCCGGCCUGAGAGGGUGACCGGCCACAUUGGGACUGAGAUACGGCCCAGACUCCUACGGGAGGCAGCAGUGGGGAAUAGUGCACGAUGGGCGGAAGCCUGAUGCAGCAACGCCGCGUGCGGGAUGACGGCCUUCGGGUUGUAAACCGCUUUCGCCUGUGACGAAGCGUGAGUGACGGUAAUGGGUAAAGAAGCAACGGCUAACUACGUG
rnacentral:rRNA from 1 species